rnacentral:misc_RNA from 1 species
GAUGAAGAACGUAGCGAAAUGCGCUAAGUAAUGUGAAUUGCAGAAUUCAGUGAAUCAUCGAAUCUUUGAACGCACAUUGCGCCCCCUGGUAUUCCGGGGGGCAUGCCUGUUCGAGCGUCAUUUCACCACUCAAGCCUCGCUUGGUAUUGGGCAACGCGGUCCGCCGCGUGCCUCAAAUCGACCGGCUGGGUCUUCUGUCCCCUAAGCGUUGUGGAAACUAUUCGCUAAAGGGUGUUCGGGAGGCUACGCCGUAAAACAACCCCAUUUCUAAGGUUGACCUCGGAUCAGGUAGGGAUACCCGCUGAACUUAAGCAUAUCAAUAAGCGGAGGA